CCACAUAGACGCCUUCGGGGUGAUUCUGGUGGAAUGAGCGGCGGACGGGUGAGUAACACGUGGGCAACCUGCCUGUAAGACUGGGAUAACUUCGGGAAACCGGAGCUAAUACCGGAUAGUAUUUCCUUUCUCCUGAUUGGAAAUGGAAAGACGGUUUCGGCUGUCACUUACAGAUGGGCCCGCGGUGCAUUAGCUAGUUGGUGGGGUAAUGGCCCACCAAGGCGACGAUGCAUAGCCGACCUGAGAGGGUGAUCGGCCACACUGGGACUGAGACACGGCCCAGACUCCUACGGGAGGCAGCAGUAGGGAAUCUUCCGCAAUGGACGAAAGUCUGACGGAGCAACGCCGCGUGAGCGAUGAAGGCCUUCGGGUCGUAAAGCUCUGUUGUUAGGGAAGAACAAGUACGAGAGUAACUGCUCGUACCUUGACGGUACCUAACCAGAAAGCCCCGGCUAACUACGUGCCAGCAGCCGCGGUAAUACGUAGGGGGCAAGCGUUGUCCGGAAUUAUUGGGCGUAAAGGGCUCGUAGGCGGUUUCUUAAGUCUGAUGUGAAAGCCCACAGCUCAACUGUGGAGGGUCAUUGGAAACUGGGGAACUUGAGUGCAGAAGAGGAGAGUGGAAUUCCACGUGUAGCGGUGAAAUGCGUAGAUAUGUGGAGGAACACCAGUGGCGAAGGCGACUCUCUGGUCUGUAACUGACGCUGAGGAGCGAAAGCGUGGGGAGCAAACAG
rnacentral:rRNA from 1 species